UUGAUGGCGACCGGCGCACGGGUGAGUAACACGUAUCCACCCUUCCGAUAACUCCGGAAUAGCCUUUCGAAAGAAAGAUUACUAUCCGGAUAGCAUACGAAUAUCGCAUGAUAUUUUUAUUAAAGAAUUUCGGUUAUCGAUGGGGAUGCGUUCCAUUAGUUUGUUGGCGGGGUAACGGCCCACCAAGACAACGAUGGAUAGGGGUUCUGAGAGGAAGGUCCCCCACAUUGGAACUGAGACACGGUCCAAACUCCUACGGGAGGCAGCAGUGAGGAAUAUUGGUCAAUGGGCGCGAGCCUGAACCAGCCAAGUAGCGUGAAGGAUGAAGGCUCUAUGGGUCGUAAACUUCUUUUAUAUGGGAAUAAAGUUUUCCACGUGUGGAAUUUUGUAUGUACCAUAUGAAUAAGGAUCGGCUAACUCCGUGCCAGCAGCCGCGGUAAUACGGAGGAUCCGAGCGUUAUCCGGAUUUAUUGGGUUUAAAGGGAGCGUAGGUGGAUUGUUAAGUCAGUUGUGAAAGUUUGCGGCUCAACCGUAAAAUUGCAGUUGAAACUGGCAGUCUUGAGUACAGUAGAGGUGGGCGGAAUUCGUGGUGUAGCGGUGAAAUGCUUAGAUAUCACGAAGAACUCCGAUUG
rnacentral:rRNA from 1 species